GAUGAACGCUGGCGGCGUGCCUAAUACAUGCAAGUCGAGCGAACGGACGAGAAGCUUGCUUCUCUGAUUUUAGCGGCGGACGGGUGAGUAACACGUGGAUAACCUACCUAUAAGACUGGGAUAACUUCGGGAAACCGGAGCUAAUACCGGAUAAUAUUUUGAACCGCAUGGUUCAAAAGUGAAAGACGGUCUUGCUGUCACUUAUAGAUGGAUCCGCGCUGCAUUAGCUAGUUGGUAAGGUAACGGCUUACCAAGGCAACGAUGCAUAGCCGACCUGAGAGGGUGAUCGGCCACACUGGAACUGAGACACGGUCCAGACUCCUACGGGAGGCAGCAGUAGGGAAUCUUCCGCAAUGGGCGAAAGCCUGACGGAGCAACGCCGCGUGAGUGAUGAAGGUCUUCGGAUCGUAAAACUCUGUUAUUAGGGAAGAACAUAUGUGUAAGUAACUGUGCACAUCUUGACGGUACCUAAUCAGAAAGCCACGGCUAACUACGUG
rnacentral:rRNA from 1 species